UUAAAAGUUAAAAAAUAAAAUUAAAACUGAAAAAAAACCAAUUUUUCCUACCUCAAUCACAAUCGAAAACCACCCGAAUACCUCAUAAUAGUGCUUACAGCAAAACCCAUAUGCCAGUCGCCACCAACAAAAAUAAACCAUAGCCUGAAUCAAACAAAAAAGCACUCUAAUUUCAAACAAGAAACACUCUUGCAAAAGCUUCUUUGAUUGUGUUAUCUUCUAUGUGGCGUUUCAUUUCAAAUCUUGUACACACAACUAAUAAAAUCACUUCACUUUCUUCAACUAGUGAUCGAUUUUUCUCUAAAAUCGCUUGCAUAACAAAGCACCAAAACACAAAGCAACAGCAACAUUAUUUGUUUAGUUUUUGGCGAUAUUUUAUUUCUAAUUCGUCGUCUAAACCCAGUUUAUCAAUAUGGAGGCGAAAGAAGGAGAUGGGUAAAGAGGGUUUGAUUGUGGCCAAAGAGCUUAAAAGACUACAGUCCAAUCCGGUUCGGCUUGAUCGGUUCAUUAAGUCGCAUGUUUCUCGCUUGCUCAAAUCUGAUCUUGUCUCCGUCCUUGCUGAGUUUCAAAGGCAAGACCAGGUUUUUCUUUGUAUGAAGUUAUAUGAUGUAGUGCGCAAAGAAAUAUGGUAUCGGCCAGACAUGUUCUUCUAUAGGGACAUGCUUAUGAUGCUUGCAAGAAACAAAAAGGUUGAUGAAGUGAAGCUGGUUUGGCAAGAUUUGAAGAGAGAGGGAGUGUUGUUUGAUCAACAUACCUUCGGGGACAUCAUCAGGGCCUUCUUAGACAGUGAGUUGCCAUCAGAAGCAAUGGACAUUUAUGAGGAGAUGAGACAAUCUCCAGAGAUUCCAUUAUCUUUGCCUUUUCGAGUGAUCUUGAAAGGGCUUCUUCCAUACCCAGAUUUGAGGGAGAAGGUCAAAGAUGAUUUCUUAGAGCUUUUUCCGAACAUGACCGUAUAUGACCCAGCUGAAGACUUGUUUGAAGAUCGAGAAAUGGAGAGCGAAGAUGAUUAGAAGGCGAUAGAUGUUCAUUUAUUAGUGACAGAUAAUGCUUGCUUCUGCAGAUUUUAACUAACUGCAACAGCUGGAAGACGUGGAUGCCGACAUAAUGUUGAGCUCAUGGUCCUUCGUGAUUCUAUUGAAUUGACUGGAUGAUGCCUCCAACUUUGGAGCUUUGCAUGCAAUGCAAUUUUUCCCUUUGUCGCGCAUACAAUUAUGCCUUGAUAAAAAGCAUCGCAUAGUGCCUAGGAUGUAGUUUAUUGUCAAGUUGGGAAGGAAGUGCUUGCUAUGCCAAAAAUAUGAGUGAGCCUUGGUGCAAUGAUGAGGUUGUUUCAUUUUCACUAGGAGAUCGCAGGCUCAAAGUCCCAAUUAGAAAACAAGCUCCUCCAUUGUGCCUUGUAGAUCAUGGCUUAAAGCACAAAAACAGUCUCCCUGUAUUGCAGGAGGAAUAGAACUCUCCCUAGAUUCUAUAACAUAUUAGGAUAUACAUGGGCCAGUUCUUUUGCUUCCUGGUUGCUGAUUCUAUGUUUCUCUUCUGUAUGCAUACAUCCUAUUGAUUCCCAUCUAUAGUGCAAGACAUGGAAGGGAAGCAAAUAUCCUUAGAACAGAGUAAUAUUCUUAUAUAAUUUGUAAUAAUAAUUGAGAAACUUUAAAAGAUUGCUUCUUUCUUUUCUAAUCA